GGCGAACGGGUGAGUAAUACAUCGGAACGUGCCCACUCGUGGGGGAUAACUACUCGAAAGAGUANCUAAUACCGCAUACGAUCUGAGGAUGAAAGCGGGGGACCUUCGGGCCUCGCGCGAUUGGAGCGGCCGAUGGCAGAUUAUGUAUUUGGUGGGAUAAAAGCUUACCAACCCGACAAUCUGUAUCUGGUCUGAGAGGACAACCACCCACNCUGGGACUGAUACACGGCCCACACUCCUUCGGGAGGCAGCAGUGGGGAAUUUUGGGACAAUGGGCGAAACCCUGAUCCAUCAUUGCCCCCUGCAAGAAUGAACGCCUUCGGGUUGUAAACUGCUUU
rnacentral:rRNA from 1 species